GCAUCCUGUAUGCCUUCUUGCCAGGAGGUUGAGAGGAACUGAAAGCAUUCAUCUUGGUGUUAUUAAAUUUAAUGUGAUUUUCCUGUUGAUAUGGUGAAAUCAAGACUGGAGCUCUGACUAAGCAAUAAUGUUCUAGGAUAUGUCAGUUUGCUAAUGAUAAAAUAAUCCUACUAUGCAGCUGUAAAUGCUCUCUAAAAGAGAAAUAACAUGACAAACAUCAGAAGGUAAGCAGAUGCAGGUAAGCAAUCAUCAAUUAUUUAAAAAAAAAUCUGAGAAAUUGCAAUAAUGUGUCAGUUUCUAACACAUAAUGUGAGAUAAAUAAUUAUUUCAAAUCACUUUCACCUGAAAUUGAAUAGGGCACUAUAUUUCCUCUCAAAAGUAAUCUUAAAGGAAGCUCCUUUCAUUCCAUAUUACUGAGUUUCUCCAUUUUGUACUGACUUUACAGGAAGACAAAGGUUAGUCAUUGGUUCUCUACUUCUGCUGGAGCACGAGUGCAGUUCAUCCUACCGAGAAAAAGAACUUCUAGCCUUUGAUUCUGUCUACCUGAAAAGAGAAGACAACCAAACCUUCAGUGGUGUGUUCAAUUCCACAUAGGAAAUAAGAAGAAGAGAUAAGAUUCUUGGAUUCAUUUCUAGGAAAGGAGGAAAGAAAGACAAGCACAUAAUUGGGAGAUGUCAGAAGCCUAAAGCUUGUGAGAAUUAAUUUUGCAAAAGAAUCACGGAGCUUCAGCACAAGACUACUUCCCUACAACCUCCUCAUCCAGUAACUUUGAUCAAGCAUUUCUUCAGUGAGAUUUAAAGAACAGUUUUGGAUAGUCUCCGAUGGAUCAAGACUUCAGGUUGUGUUAUAGAAUCAGCAAUAAUCUUAGACAUUUGACUGUCUGUGUUGUUGCUGAAGAGUGUAGUCUGGAUGAAGAAGGUAUACACAAACAAAUGUGGAAAAAUAUGAGGAAAGAAGACUGCUGUCUGAAAGGAAAGAGAGCAAGAGAGAUUUACUGAUAAUUUAGAUCCUACUCACUAUUCUUCAAAUUUUUUUGGACUCAACAGUUCAUUUUAAAUGCUUUUGUUGUAAUCUUUGUGAAACAGUGAAUGGGCAGGGAUUUUAAUUUUUCUCUAAAAAUAAAACAUUUUAAAAU
ensembl:lncRNA